UACGUAGGAGGCAAGCGUUGUCCGGAAUUACUGGGCGUAAAGCGCGUGUAGGUGGUGGGACAAGUCUGCUGUGAAAGCGCCUGGCUUAACCGGGCGAGGUCGGCGGAAACUGUCGCACUCGAGGACGGUAGAGGGGGUGGAAUUCCCGGUGUAGUGGUGAAAUGCGUAGAGAUCGGGAGGAACACCUGUGGCGAAGGCGGCCCCCUGGGCCGGCC
rnacentral:rRNA from 1 species